CACAACCAAUCGGAAAGUUCAGUCCGAAGAAAGUGAUUGGAUGAACCAAAUGAAUCCUGCCUGAGCGCACUCCGCUCGUUCACUACACAGUCGGGCACGUGACCUGUCUCCUGCACGGCGUCGGCAAACAACCGGAGCUACCAGAGCUACGGAUAGCAGCCGAGUUGCUGCACUGGACUAAAGAAGAAAAGAGUUGCAGAACGGCAGAGAAAGUGCCUACAAUGGCUUCCGGUCGCAACAGACAGAGCAGUAGAGUAGACUACGGCACAAAGAGGUUGGAUACUACAGGAGGAGUGAACAGAGUAAACAUCGGUGUCACUCUUCACCGCUGGCUUCAACUCCGGGAGGAGAAGAGGGUGAAAGGUACAGCAAGUUGUACAUGAACAGCUAGAGAAACAAGUCAGCAGAGGACCAGGACCACUGCCUAAGAGUCGACGACAGCACAGCCUGACCCGUCAGCUGACAGACCUUCUUUGACACUAAAGAACUAGGAAACCCUGUGCAGACAGUUUCUUCCUUUUUUGUAUAUAUGGUGAUUAUGCUAAUAUUAUAAUAUAUAUAUAUUUGUUAUA